rnacentral:miRNA from 1 species
ACGUGGACUAUGUCAAGAACCCC